rnacentral:lncRNA from 1 species
GGGGUUUUCUUUCAAUGACGUCUACUCUGCAGUACUGGGUGUAAUGGAGGGGCGGGGGUCUGUAAUGAGAACAGCCGGGGAAGGGUGAUAUUCAGAGCCCCCUGUGAGACCCUUUGGCUCUCUGCUCCUAACCCACCUUUCUCUCAUUCAAAAAGCUGAUGAACCCCUGCUUAGCUUCUGGGAUCUUUCCCUUGUGCUGCAACAUGAGCUAAAUCUUCACAUUCCUGAUGCGCGAGUCAUGACCAGAUCUGGAAGGCCCUGAACAGAGAGGAGCCCCACCUCAGGGAUCCUGUUAUGGCCUGGCCCCUCUGGGCUUUAACUGUGCUGCUCCUGGUGCAAAGUGCGGAUGGGUUCCUGUGAGAAUGGGCCAGGUUUCACAGCUCAGGCGUUUGAAUUGCUGGUUAUGAAAUCUAGCGACAGGGCUCACGGAGCAAAAGCAGGUUGGGAAGUGUCCGCCGCAGUGAUGGCUGGAUAGGUGGACCUGAGCACUGCAGAAGAGGCCUCCCCUGUUGGUUGUUGCUGCAUGCGGCUGGUCGUGCUCAGCCGGGGAAACAAAAGGCAUCGCUGCAUGGAGUCCACGUGCUCAACCAAGUCUACUAUAUCGUGUAGUUUUAAGAGGGCCAUCAUGGGAGAAAUAACUACGUCCAUUAGGGCUGUGCAGAGCAGACGAUCCUUGAAGUCCCUUCCAACACUAUGAUGGUGACUCCUGUGAUCCAGCUGGAGCCCGUAUCCCAGGCAGAAUUAGCAGCUCA